GUUAGCAUGGCAGAGUGGUCUAAGGCAUUAGAUUAGAACUUUUACUUCCAAACGGAUGUGGAUUCAAGUCCCACUUUUGACA